UCUCUUCUCCUUUUUUUCAAGAAUCCAUAUUUUAAUAACAGCAGCGAAGAACUGAGAGGACUUUUUACAUCAUGGAGGUUGUGGUUGGCAUACUAAAUGUUUUCCACAAUGAAGCCAGUGGAUGGUCCGUCACACUCAGCCUAUUCCUUGUCUUCCUUGGUCUUCUCUACUGGUAUUCAGUUUACCCCUUUUCAGUGCUCUCUCGAUGUGGCAUCAAGCAUCCAAAGCCAAUACCUUUCUUUG